UUCUUAAAACAACAGUGGAAAGAGCGGACAUUAACAUCUUCUUAAGUCAAGUCUGAGACAAAAAGAGUGUGUCCGGGACACCAAAUCCAGUUAUUGAGCGGGGUGCCUCCAUACUAGACUGACCAGGCACACAUCAAGCUACACUCGCUCCCUGACCAACACCACCAGCCUUUCUUGGAUCGGGUCUACAGACUCCUGGGCAGCCAAUCACAAACUUUUGGAAGGACAAGACUGAAAAUACAACAAACAACCUUGAGAGAAGGCCUGAAAGAGCCAAAAGAAUGCAAGUUAAUAAAGACAGUGAAUAAAAAAAGAACACAGAGCCUUCCAGUUAGGAUGUGAAAAGCUGGAAAGAACAUGGCUCCAACCUUAACAAUUAUUAGGAAAACUGAAGAAACUACAAAAUCACAAUUUAUUGAGCCGCUAAGAAGGCAGAGGCAGUGAGACAGCCACACCCACUGAAGUGAGCGGGGACAGAACAGGAGUACAGUGUGCUUCUCGUCCCUACCAGGUGCUCACAAGCCUGGACUGAGGGCAGGACAGAGAGAAAGCUUCCAACCUGGUGAGGCCAGGAGAAG